GGAUGGGUGGCCGAGUGGUCGAAGGCGGUAGUCUUGAAAACUACUGAGGUGCAAGCCUCCGCAGGUUCGAAUCCUGUCCCAUCCGCCU
rnacentral:tRNA from 2 species